GGGUCAUUAGGUUGGUCGUGCCACCGGUACGUACUGGUCUCACUGAUUCCUCCUUCCUGAAGAACCGUAAUGCCAUUAAUUUGGUGUUGCGGGGAAACAGGACUGUUACUUUGAAAAAGUUAGAGUGUUUAAAGCAAGCUAACGCUUGAAUACAUUAGCAUGGAAUAAUGAAAUAGGACGAUCGAUCCUAUUUUGUUGGUUUCUAGGAUUGACGUA
rnacentral:rRNA from 1 species